rnacentral:rRNA from 1 species
GAUGAACGCUGGCGGCGUGCCUAAUACAUGCAAGUCGAGCGAACGGACGAGAAGCUUGCUUCUCUGAUGUUAGCGGCGGACGGGUGAGUAACACGUGGAUAACCUACCUAUAAGACUGGGAUAACUUCAGGAAACCGGAGCUAAUACCGGAUGAUAUUUUGAACCGCAUGGUUCAAAAGUGAAAGACGGUCUUGCUGUCACUUAUAGAUGGAUCCGCGCUGCAUUAGCUAGUUGGUAAGGUAACGGCUUACCAAGGCAACGAUGCAUAGCCGACCUGAGAGGGUGAUCGGCCACACUGGAACUGAGACACGGUCCAGACUCCUACGGGAGGCAGCAGUAGGGAAUCUUCCGCAAUGGGCGAAAGCCUGACGGGGCAACGCCGCGUGAGUGAUGAAGGUCUUCGGAUCGUAAAACUCUGUUAUUAGGGAAGAACAUAUGUGUAAGUAACUGUGCACAUCUUGACGGUACCUAAUCAGAAAGCCACGGCUAACUACGUG